UACGAAGGGGGCUAGCGUUGCUCGGAAUCACUGGGCGUAAAGGGUGCGUAGGCGGGUCUUUAAGUCAGGGGUGAAAUCCUGGAGCUCAACUCCAGAACUGCCUUUGAUACUGAAGAUCUUGAGUUCGGGAGAGGUGAGUGGAACUGCGAGUGUAGAGGUGAAAAUUCGUAGAUAUUGCAAGAACACCAGUGGCGAAGGCGGAGCUCACCUGGCC
rnacentral:rRNA from 1 species